GUCAGCCAUGGAGUGAAAUUUCAACAAUUGGAAAGUUGCCCAAUCUUGAAGUGCUUAAAUUACUUGAGGACUGCUUUGUUGGGGAAGAAUGGGUAAUGAAAGAAGGGGAGUUCCCUAAACUCCGAGUCUUAAAAUUGUCAGAAUUGGAAUUUCGCAACUGGACUGCAUUUUCUGAUAAUUUUUCCCACCUUGAGAAAUUGGUCUUGCACUCGUGUGAGGAGCUGGAAAAGGUCCCUUCCUGUUUAGGGGAGUGUGAGACUCUUGAAAUGAUUCAGGUGAAAGGGUGUCGUGAGUCUGUUGUAGAUUCUGUAAAGCAAAUUCAACAAGAGCAGAUAGAUAUGGGAAAUGAGGUUCUAAAGAUCGAAAUUGAUAAGUAUGAUACAUCCAUUUCCUCAGAAGAAUAAUCUACAGAAGCAGAGUCAACUCCCUCAGAAGCAGAGGAGAUUUCUUCAGAAAGAGAAUCUAUAUCCUCUCAUCAGUCAUCACGCAGUUGACAAUUGUGAGAGUGAAUGUACAGUAGGAUUCCACUCAUCAGAGUAGAUUUCCUCAGCCGGAGAGUCCAUUUCUUCUCAUCAUCACAUUAGGCAAUGGUACAGACUGAAGCAUUUAUGUCUCUUCUUGACUUUGUGUGAUCAUUCCACUCAUCAGGGGCAAGCACAGUCAUGCAUUCUAUCAAGCCAAUAUUAUCCAUCAUAAUCUGUUUGUAAAACUAGCUGUUUGUAACUCUCUGUUUAAAGCACAGUCAUGGUUUGAUGUUUAAUAGUGUUUACGAUCCAUCACAAUCUGUUUGUAAAAUGCUCUCCAAGUUCUUUCCUGAUUUUGAUGUUUAAUAGUGUUCAUGAUCCCAAUUUUUCAAAUAUUCUUCAAUCCUGCUACAGAUUGAAAUGAUCCUUAAAACUAGCUGUUUGUAGAAUGUUCUC